rnacentral:rRNA from 1 species
GAUGAACGCUAGUUACAGGCUUAACACAUGCAAGUCGAGGGGUAACAAGAGAAAAGCUUGCUUUUCUUGUUGACGACCGGCGCACGGGUGAGUAACGCGUAUCCAACCUGCCUAUAACUAGGGAAUAACCUUGCGAAAGUAAGACUAAUACCCUAUGAUUUCCUUUGAUGACAUCAGAUUAGGAAUAAAGAUUUAUCGGUUAUAGAUGGGGAUGCGUCUGAUUAGCUUGUUGGCGGGGUAACGGCCCACCAAGGCAACGAUCAGUAGGGGUUCUGAGAGGAAGGUCCCCCACAUUGGAACUGAGACACGGUCCAAACUCCUACGGGAGGCAGCAGUGAGGAAUAUUGGUCAAUGGGCGAAAGCCUGAACCAGCCAAGUAGCGUGCAGGAUGACGGCCCUAUGGGUUGUAAACUGCUUUUAUAUAGGAAUAAAGUUAGCCACGUGUGGUUAUUUGUAGGUACUGUAUGAAUAAGGACCGGCUAAUUCCGUGCCAGCAGCCGCAGUAA